rnacentral:misc_RNA from 1 species
UGCGCCGCUCCUCCGGUGCC